CUCAUUGAACGCUUCCGGUAUCUUUCUUGUUAGCACCGCGUAAACCGUACAGACUACGAUCAAUAUUAUCGGAUAGGAGAACGCUAUCAUGUAACUGGCAUCGAUGGUCAAUAACCAUCCAUACGCCAUUGAUGAGUAUCUGGACGCCAACUAGUCCAGAGCAUAUUAUCAGUUGCGAUCGUGGAGAGAUGAACGAUGGUCUCUUGGCGCUGUGUUUACCGGCAUUGAAGAUUCGUGCUAUACGAUUAGUUUUCGUUAGCAGUGCAGCGUAGACGACUGUAAAGCAGAAGCCGGCGGCAAAUCUGAAAUGAGAAUUGGGAUACAGAGCACUUUCCGAUGACAAAGGAUACAUGGGAUACGUCGAUACCCUAUAUUCCUUGAGAAUAGAGAUUACUGUGGACAUUGCGAUAACUUGAUAUCAUGGCCUAUAAAAGCUAUGGGUGGUUUUCAGGUAGACAGGGUUGUUCGUAAAAUAUUGAUAUUUUGGGAGGACCCUAGAGCCAUAAUGUCGUAACGAUAAAAUUUAUGUUGGAUGUAUGCCUGAUAGGACCUUAAAGUCUUUUUGCAUCGUUGCCGAUGAUAAAAACAUUUAACUGUUGCUGCUUUGUCGUCUUUGUGCAAACGUAUGCGCACUUAAAUGGAAUUCUUGUGAACUGAGGCGUGAACGUGAAUGUCUCUUCUGUCGGGUCCUUAGAAUUGAGACACUUUGUGCACACGUUAUGUGUUAUAGGGGGAGAGGAUUGACAAAGAGGUAGGACUUGUGUACGCAGUGUCAAAUAAUUCUUCUAAAAGUCCCUUGAGGCUGAUUCAAAAGUGGAUGUCACCUUUGUAUGCCGCACACAAUGUCCGUUGGUCUCAGCACAAGGGCAAAGGUUACCAGAUAGCAUAAAAGUAUUCCUGUUAGAAGAAUGUAAGAUAAUUCUCGUCCCGAUGCUCGAACCACUGGGGUGUCGUUAUGC